rnacentral:rRNA from 1 species
UACGGAGGGAGCUAGCGUUGUUCGGAAUUACUGGGCGUAAAGCGCACGUAGGCGGCUUUGUAAGUUAGAGGUGAAAGCCUGGAGCUCAACUCCAGAACUGCCUUUGAUACUGCAUGGCUUGAAUCCAGGAGAGGUGAGUGGAAUUCCGAGUGUAGAGGUGAAAUUCGUAGAUAUUCGGAAGAACACCAGUGGCGAAGGCGGCUCACUGGAGCUGGUAUUGACGCUGAGGUGCGAAAGCGUGGGGAGCAAACAGG